CUGCGGGGAUGAUCGCGCUGAACUCUCUCUUUCUGAUGGGUCCGUGGAGAAGUUUCUGGACUUUUUUCUGAGUGGC